UGGUUUCCUAUAGAAAGUUGCUCUAUUGC
rnacentral:piRNA from 1 species